GCGUUUGUGGUUUAGUGGUAAAAUUGAUCGUUGCCACGACUGGUCAUUCAGUCAGCAGCUUCGAUCAGCCCCGGGUUCGAUUCCCGGCGGACGCA